UACGGAGGGUGCGAGCGUUGUCCGGAAUCAUUGGGCGUAAAGGGCGCGUAGGCGGCUUCUCAAGCGUGCGGUGAAAGUCAGGGGCUCAACCCCUGAUCGGCCGUGCGAACUGGGGGGCUGGAGCACUGUAGAGGCAGGCGGAAUUCCGGGUGUAGCGGUGGAAUGCGUAGAGAUCCGGAAGAACACCGGUAGCGAAGGCGGCCUGCUGGGCAGUGGCUGACGCUGAGGCGCGACAGCGUGGGGAGCAAACAGG
rnacentral:rRNA from 1 species